rnacentral:rRNA from 1 species
GGUAACAGAUCUAGCUUGCUAGAUGCUGACGAGUGGCGAACGGGUGAGUAACGCGUAUGCAAUCUGCCUUUAACUGAGGGAUAGCCCAGAGAAAUUUGGAUUAAUACCUCAUAGUAUUAUGAUUUGGCAUCAUUUCAUAAUUAAAACUCCGGUGGUUAAAGAUGAGCAUGCGUCCUAUUAGCUAGUUGGUAAGGUAAGAGCUUACCAAGGCUACGAUAGGUAGGGGGCCUGAGAGGGUGAUCCCCCACACUGGUACUGAGACACGGACCAGACUCCUACGGGAGGCAGCAGUGAGGAAUAUUGCGCAAUGGAGGAAACUCUGACGCAGCCAUACCGCGUGUAGGAAGAAUGUCCUAUGGAUUGUAAACUACUUUUAUACAAGAAGAAACCCCAGUACGUGUACUGGGCUGACGGUAUUGUAAG